CGCGAGCCACCGCCGUCCUGCCGGUCCCUAUCCCUGUUGGUGCACGAAUCCCGCUUAAUGCCCGUCCACCUAGGCUUUGGCCGGUGCAUCUUUCAGCGUCAUUGUGGCUCCUGCGCCGUCCAACUACGACCGUUGCGUUGUCCAACCUCAUCCGCAUGGGCAGUCCCUCCUUGUUCACUCGCUUGGCAGCAGAGGUGGGAACUCCCCCUUUGCCUCUCCUCAACCUCACGGACUCCUUCUGGAUUGUCGACGGGCCACUGGCAG
rnacentral:lncRNA from 1 species